rnacentral:rRNA from 1 species
AACGAACGCUGGCGGCAGGCUUAACACAUGCAAGUCGAACGCAUCGCAAGAUGAGUGGCAGACGGGUGAGUAACGCGUGGGAAUCUACCCAGUUCUACGGAACAACAGUUGGAAACGACUGCUAAUACCGUAUACGCCCUAUGGGGGAAAGAUUUAUCGGAAUUGGAUGAGCCCGCGUAAGAUUAGCUAGUUGGUGGGGUAAUGGCCUACCAAGGCGACGAUCUUUAGCUGGUCUGAGAGGAUGAUCAGCCACACUGGGACUGAGACACGGCCCAGACUCCUCCGGGAGGCAGCAGUGGGGAAUAUUGGACAAUGGGCGCAAGCCUGAUCCAGCCAUGCCGCGUGAGUGAUGAAGGCCUUAGGGUUGUAAAGCUCUUUCACCGAUGAAGAUAAUGACGGUAGUCGGAGAAGAAGCCCCGGCUAACUUCGUGCCAGCCGCCGCAGUAAAAC